AAGGACCAAUUGUAGUAUUGGGAGAUGCUAGGAUGGACAGUCCAGGAUUCUGUGCACAAUACUGCACAUACACGGCCAUGGACAAUGAGUCCAAAAAAAUGAUCAGCAUAGUCAACAUAGACAAGCGAGAAACACAGAGGAACUCGGUUGUAAUGGAGAAAGAGGCCUUCAUUCGUACCUUUGAGACACUCUGUGAGGAGCUCAAGGUUACGGAGUUUUGCACCGAUGCCCAUGUUCAAAUAUCUGCCCUCUUCAACAUGGGGAAAUACAAAGACAGUGGUGUACAACACACACUCGACAUCUGGCAUGGAGCUAAAAGCUUGAGUAAAAA